rnacentral:tRNA from 1 species
GCUUCUGAAAGAUAAUAGCUAUCUAU